UUUUUUAUGGUGUAAACAGCACAUUGGUUUUUCACACCAAAGGAGAAAAGCAAUUUUCUGAU
rnacentral:tRNA from 1 species